GAGGUACAUGUUGCAUCAAAAUGAAAAUAUUUGAAUGAGUCUCAACUCAACUGUCAUAUAAUCCACCAGCUGUGAGCUGGACUGGAAGUCAUGAUCAGAAACAAACAAACAAACAACUCUGCCUGGCUAGGGAACACCACAAUUUCCUGCUUCACCUGCGGCACAGUUCUGUUUCCAACCAGACCAGACCAGUUUCUAGGUACCAUUUUGCUACAGAAUACAAACUUCGGAGUAAUGGGUAGUUUCAUUCAUGUAAUUCAGUUAACGUUUUUCUCCCAGAAUAGUAAUAUUAAUUUCAUGUGGAUUUUUUUGAAACUUUUUUUGAUAAUUUGGAGUCAGAAAAUUUCAUUCAUAGUGAGAUGUUCCAUUUCAAUUGAGUCAUUGAUGGAUUCAUUUACUGAAUUUGUUUUAGACAGUGGAAAUUAACCAGUGGUUCUUCAAGAUAAGGGAAGGGUCCCCAAUGGUUAGUAUUAGUCUUCUUCUGUAUUGACAGUUUUUUUCUGAUUAUUUGUCCCAACUUGAGUGUACCACUAAUUUGUUUAAAUUAUUCAUAAAUAAGUUAAUUUUUUAUUAA